rnacentral:lncRNA from 1 species
GGCAAACUGCUCCGGUCCCUUCCCACGCUGUGGGAGCUUUGUUCUUUCUCUGUUUGCAAUAAAUCUUGCUGCUGCUCACUCUUUGGGUCCCCAGUGCCCUUAUGAGCUGUAACACUCACCGCGAAGGUUUGCAGUUUCACUCCUGAAGCCAGCGAGACCACGAACCCUCCGGGAGGAACGAACAACUCCGGACACGCCGCCUUUAAGAACUGUAACACUCACCGCGAGCGUCCGCAGCUUCAUUCUUGAAGUCAGUGAGACCAAGAACCCACAAUUCCGGACACAGUAGGAGCCAGUGUUACAAAAAACAAAAGCAGAACCAAUUUCCUGCCUUCAAGGAACAUGAAGUCACUGAAUCCCAUCAUCUUUAUUGAGAGACAUUCCUUUGGAAAGAAUACUUCCAAUCAUUCUAUCAAAAAUCUUAUACUUGAAGAGAAGCCCUGCUGGAAUGGUGAGUAAGGAUUUUUGAAAAUCUGAUUCCUCCAUAUCAUUGUAAAACUUGUCAAAAUCAACGUUUCAGAACUCUGGAAAUUAAUGAAAGGCUUACAACAAUCCAAGACUUUUUUUUUUUUUUUUUUUUUUUGUAGCUGAAUCUCUAAGAACAGUGAGCUCCUUGGCAUUUUAACUUGCUCAGUUCCCAUCUCCCUCUCCUCAUCUCUUUAUUAGGCUUGGAAUUGAACAGGCUUGCAAGCACAGUAGCUGUAAAAACAAUCAGAUUAGCAGCCAUGAAAAGGGGUAAGACGACUUUGGAAUAUCUCCAAACUUCAUCCCCAAAGAAUUGUCACUACUUGACCUAUCUAGCAGCAUCCUGGAGGAGACCCUCUAAAAUACAGUACUGUAUUAUAUUUACCAGGACGUGUCUUUACUUGACCUUACCCAGAGCCACUUGAGGUUAGCAAGAGGUUGAAAAAAAACAAACCACCACAAAACAAAAACAAAACUUAAAAAAAUGGAAAUAGUUUUAAACAUUGAAAAACAAUUGACUUACCUUCAGUUUCACUGAUUCUUAUGGGAGUUCAAAUCUGUUAUUGGGCCUUGCUAGCAAAUUUUUUAUUUCAGUUAUUAUACUUUUCAGUUCCAGAAUUUCUAUUUGAUUAUUUUCUAUAAUUUUUAUAUUGUUAUUUAUACUUUUUUGGUGAGACUUUUUUUAUACUUUUCAAAUUCUUCAGACACCAUAUCCUUUAAUUUUUGUUAUAGUUAUAAUAGCAGAGUUAAAGUCUUUAAUAAGUCCAACAUCUGAGCAGUUUCCACUGACCGCUUUUUUAUAUCCAUAUAUGAGCAAUAUUUCCUUUUUCUUUGCAUGUGUCAUAUUUUUUGUGGAGAACUGGAGAUUUUAAAUAAUAUAAUGUGCUAACUACCAAAAAGAGAUUUCCUCCACUCAGGGUUUACUGUUGCUGCUAUUUGUUACUAUUGUUGCUGUUUGUUUAGUGACUUUCCUUGAAUGCUUCACUCAGCUCCCUAUUCACUGUCAUAUUGUGUCUGGAAUUGGUGGGUUCUUGGUCUCACUGACUUCAAGAAUGAAGCCACACACCCUCGCAGUGAGUGUUACAGUUCUUAAAGAUGGUGUGCCUGGAGUUUGUUCCUUCUGAUGUUCGGACGUGUUCAGAGUUUCUUCCUUCUGGUGGGUUCGUGGUCUCUCUGGCUUCAGGAGUGAAACUGCAGACCUUUGCGGUGAGUGUUACAGCUCGUAAAGGCAGUGCGGAACCACAGAGUGAGCAGCAGCAAGAUUUAUUGCAAAGAUCAAAAGAACAAAGCUUCUGAGGUGUGGAAGGGGACCCCAGGCGUUGCUGCUGCUGGCUCAGGCAGCCUGUUUUCAUUCCCUUAUCUGACCCCACCCACAUCCUGCUGAUUGGCCCAUUUUACAGAGAGGCGAUUGGUCCGUUUUACAGAGAGCUGAUUGGUCUGUUUUGACAGGGUGCUGAUUGGUGCAUUUACAAUGCCUGAGCUAGACACAGAGUGCUGAUUGGUGUAUUUACAAUCCUCUAGCUAGACCUAAAAGUUCUCCAAGUCCCCACUAGAUUAACUAGACACAGAGUACUGAUUGGUGUGUUUACAAACCUUGAGCUACACACAGGGUGCUGAUUGGUGUAUUUACAAUCCCUGAGCUAGACAUAGAGCACUGAUUGGUGCGUUUACAAACCUCUCGCUAGACACAGGGUGCUGAUUGGUGCGUUUACAAACCUUGAGCUAGACACAGGGUGCUGACUGGUGUAUUUACAAUCCUUUAGCUAGACUUAAAAGUUCUCGAAGUCCCCACCAGAUAGCUAGGUACAGAUGCUGAUUGGUGCAUCCACAAACCCGGAGCUAGACACAGAGUGCUGAUUGGUGCAUAUAUAAUCCUCUGGCUAGACAUAAAAUUUCUCCAGUCCCCACCUGACUCAGGAGCCCAGCUGGCUUCCCCUAGUGGAUCCUGAGCCAGGGCCACGGGCGGAGCUGCUCGCCAGUCCCGCAGCGCUGCACACCUGCACUCCUCAGCCCUUGGGUGGUCAUUGGGACCGGGCGCUGUGGAGCAGGGGGUGGCGCCCUUCGGGGAGGCUCGUCCACCACCAGGGAGGUUGGGCAUGGCAGGCUGCAGGUCCCGAGCCCUGCCCCAUGGGAAGGCGGCUGAGGCGCGGGGAGAAUUCGAGCCCGGCGCUGGGGGGCUGGCAGUGUUGGGGGACCCAGUGCCCCCUCUGCAGCUGCUGGCCCAGGUGCUAAGUCCCUCACUGCCCCAGGCGGUGGCACUGGCCAGCUGCUCCGAGUGCCAGCUGGCAGAGCACGCGCCCACCCAGAACUUGUGCUGGCCCUGUGAGCACAGAGCACAGCCUGGGUUCCCGCCCCCGCCUCUCCCUCCACACCUCCCUGGAAGCAGAUGGAGCGGGCUCCAGCCUCGGCCAGCCCAGAGAGGGGCUCCCAUAGUGCAGCGGUGGGCUGAAGGGCUCUUCAAGUGUGGCCAGAGCAGACAUCCAAGCAGAGGAGGCGCUGAGAGCGAGCGAGGGCCGCCAGCAUGUUGUCACCUUUCAAUAUGCAUUCACAGAAGUCUCUGCUUGUUUAACUUAGUGGUCAGCUAAUGAUCAGACACAGGUUUUUAAAUGCCAUGAAUCAGUAAGUAUCCCAGCCUUUACUGAAGGCUUCUUAUGUGUGUUGGGGCAUGCCUUUAACAUUUGGGUACUUUAAAACUCUGCAUCAGCGUUUACUUCUGGAUUGUGCAGAAUCUCAAGCUAGAGGUGUGAGUAUGGCCUUCUCAGAUAUUUCCUAGGCAUGCUCAAGUCCUGUACAUGUGUAUGCCCUUCUGGAAUUUCAGAUAUAUACUGGAGCCGUUCAAAUUCUAUGGAAAUAAAAUAGCAUUGUCCCAAAUCAUCAAUGGGUCAAAAAAAAAACCCAAUAAAAGUGAGAAAAUACUUUGAGGUGAAUAAAAAUAAAUCCAAAACUUAUAGAAUGUGGAUAAAGCUGUGCUUACAGAGGUAUUUCAGGCUCUUGUCACCUAUAUUACAAAACAAUAAAGUUUUCAAUCCAGUACUAUAAUAUUUUCAUCUUAAGAAAAGAGAAAAAUAAGAGCAAAUGAAGCUCAUAACAAGCAGAAAGAGGGAAAUAAUAAAGAUUAGAGUGAAAGUAAAUAAAAUGGAGAAAAGAAAAAUAGUAAAGAGAAUCAACAAAACCAAAAUCUUAUUCUCUGAAAUAAUAGGAAAGAAAAUCACAAAUUACCGAAACUGAUUCAAGAAUAAGUAGAACAUCUGAAUAGAUUUAUAACUAUUAAAGAGGUAGAAUUAGAAAUUUAAAAAUAAUAAACUUCUCACAAAGAAAAGACUAGGUCAAGAUUGCUUCAGUGGUGAUUUCUACCAGAUAGAAAAAAGAAUCAACACCUAUGCUUCUCAAACUCUUCCAAAGAACAGAAGAGGAGACAACAUUUCCCAACUCUUCUGUGAGGCCGUUAUUAUUUAGAUAUCAAACCAGACAAAGACAUCACAGGAGAAAAAAACUCUGAAAAAACUUAUCUUAAAAACAUUAAUGUAGAAAGACUCAGAAAUACUAGCAAACCUAAUUCUGCAUGCAUAUAAAUAUAUAAAUAAUGAAUAAGUUAGACUUAUUCUAUAAAUGCAAUGUUGGUUCAACAUACAAAGAUCAACCAAUACAAUGCACUAAAUCAAUGAAAUAAAGGAUGAAACCCACACGAUCAUUUCAAUGGAAGUGGAAAAAAAGACAAUUUGACAAAAUCCAACACUACUUCAUGAUGAAGCCACUCAACAAAUUGGAAAUAUUAGCUUGGUGCAAAAGUAAUUGCGGUUUUAAUGGCAAAACCACAAUUACUUUUGCACCAACCUAAUAGAAAGGAACUUCCUCAUUGGCUUGGUGACUAAGUGGCACUCUUGUGAGACUUAGGUAAAAGGUUUUUUUUUUUUUCGCCCUCUGGGUGUAUACAGACAAUGGAAAGUUGAGUGAACUUGUUCUGAAUUUCAGCUCCUAUCCACUGCUCUUUGAUUAGUGCCUUGUGCAGGGCACAAUCAACCUAACCUUAACUGGUGGCGCUGGCCCCUAAUCUAGACUUUUUCCUUUAGGUUCUGGGGCUCCUUACAGAAAUGAUCUACUCUUUGCCCAGUUUUGUUCCCAGGGGUCUCAGGGAGCAUGUAACUUGGAAACAAGAGGGAUACAUGAAUCUCAGGACAAGGUUUUUUUUUUUUUUUUUUUUUUUUUCCUGUAGGUGAACAUCGAAAACCCAAGAGAAGAUUUUCAAAUAAUUUUUUUCUUAAACAAUGUAAUCUGUGGGUUUUAAAAUUCAAACCUGUGAGAAUCUGGACAUUUCAUUAUUUCCUUAAUGGAUAUACUGUUUAAAUAUUAAUUCACAUGGGAGGAUUGCUUGACCCCAAAACUUUAAUGCUGUAGUGAGGUGACUGUGCCAGUAUACUCCAGCCUGAUGCAAGAGAGUGAGACUGUGUCUCUAAAAAGAAAUAAUAAAUAAAAAAUAUUAAUUCAUGCAUCUUUUUUUUCUUUGUCAAGCUUGCUAAAGGUUUUUCAACUUUGUCUUUUCAAAGAACCAGAUUUUGGUUCCACUAAUAUUCUCUAUUGUAUUUUGUUCUCCAUUUUAUUGAUAUCUGUUAUAUUUAUUGUUUCCUUUUUUUCUGCUUGCCUUGGGUUUGUUUUUCUCCUUUUUCCUUAACAUGAAAGCUUAGGUUAUUGAUUCAAAACCUUUCUUCUUUCUAAUAUAAUUAUUUGAUGCUAUAAAUUUCCCUCUAAGGCUUGCUUUAUUGUUAUUUCACAAAUUUUUAUGUGUUGAACUUUAUCGUUCAGUUUAAGAUAUUUUCUAUUUUCUCCAAAGUCUUCCUCUUUGAUCCAUAUAUUAUUUAGUAGUGUGUUGUUUAAUUUCCAACUGUUCAGAGCUUUUAUCUUUACAUUAUAAUUUUUUUCUUUACUUUAUAAUUUAUUUUAGAAAUUUGAAAGAAAAUACAUUGAAAAACAGAAAAGAACAAAGUAAUGAAAUUAGUAGUUAUAGUAGUUAUUCAUUACCUAGAGAUAAAAACUAUUAAUAAUUUAGUAUGUGUGCCUCCAGUUGUUUUUACUAUAUCAAUAAAUAUAUCAUCUACAUUUAUAUUUAACCUUUACCCCUACCUAUAUACAAUCUAUAUCUACAUCUAUAUAUGUGUUUUUCAUCAAAUUAGAAUCAGAGUAUAGAUGCUGUUUCUUUUUUUUUUUUAAACUUUUCAGUUCAGGGGUACAUGUGCAGCAAGUGCAGGUUUGUUACAUAGGUAGACGUGUGUCAUGGGAGUUUUUCGUACAGGUUAUUUCAUCACCCCAGUAUUAAGCCUGGUAUCCAUUAGUUAUUUUUCCUGAUCUUCUCCCUCCUUCUACCAUCCAGCCUGUGAUGGACCCCAGUGUGUGUUGUUCCUCUCUGUGUCCAUGUGUUCUCAUCAUUUAGCUCCCACUUAUAAGUGAGAACAUGCAGUAUUUGUUUUUUGUUGUUCUUGUUGUUUGUUUGUUUUGACGGAGUCUUGCUUUGUCGCCUGGGCUGGCGUGCAAUGGCGCGAUCUCGGCUCAUUGCAAGCUCCGCGUUCCGGGUUCACGCCAUUCUCCUGCCUCAGCCUCCUGAGUAGCUGGGACUACAGGAGUCCGCUACCACGCCCGGCUAAUUUUUUGUAUUUUCGGUAGAGACAGGGGUUUCACCGUGUUAGCCAGGAUGGUCUCGAUCUCCUGACCUCGUGAUCUGCCCGCCUCGGCCUCCCAAAGUGCUGGGAUUACAGGCAAAGUACUGGGAUUACAGGUGUGAGCCACCUCGCUCGGUCCAGUAUUUGGUUUUCUGUUCCUGUGUUAGUUUGCUAAGGAUAAUGAUCUCCAGCUCCAUCCAUGUCCCUGCAAAGGACAUGAUCUCGUUCUUUUUAUGGCUGCAUGGUAUUCUAUGUUGUAUGUAUACCACAUUUUCUUUAUCUAGUCUAUCAUUGAUGGGCAUUUAGGUUGAUUCCAUGUCUUUGCUAUUGUAAAUAGCUCUGCAGUUAACAUACAUGUGCAUGUGUCUUUGUAAUAGAACGAUUUAUAUUCCUUUGAGUAUAUACCCAGAUGUUGAAUGGAAUGCCUGUCUUUAGGUCUUUGACGAAUUGCCACACUGUCUUCCACAACAGUUGAACUAAUUUACACUCCCACCAACAGUGUAUAAGUGUUCCAUUUUCCCCACCACCUUGCCAGCAUCUGUUAUUUUUUGACUUUUUAAUAGUAGCCAUUCUGCCUGGUGUGAGAUGUUAUCUUGUUAGGGUUUUGAUUUUGAUUUCUCAAAUAAUCAGUGAUGUUGAGCUUUUUUUCAGUGAUUGUUGGCUGUAUAUACAAGCUGUUUCUAACUUUUUUCAUUUAGUCAUAUAUUGCAGAAAAACUUAUUUUCUAUAAAAUGAUUUUGGGGGCAAGUACUAUAUAUUUUCCUUAUGUAUGCUACAUAUAAGUGCCCAAAUCAUUAGUAAAUUUUCACAAAGUGAACAUACAUGUAGAUGUCACCUAGAUUGAGAAAGAGAGCACCACGUAACGUUCCUCUCCCCUCAUCAAGAAAAGGUAAUCACUAUUUUAAAUGUUAUCACAAUCAGUUACACUUGCCUAUUUAAAACUUUAUGUAAAUGGAGUAAAUCAGUGUGUGUUAUUUUGUGUCUGGUUUUUUUUGCUCAACAUUAUGUUUGGAUAUUUUGUCCAUAUUAUGGAUGUUGUUCAUUUGAUUUCAUUGCUGUAUAAUACUCUAUUGAGUGAAUAUAACAAUAUUUAAUUCAUUUUAUUUUGGGGGCUAGCAAUUUAUUUAUUUUCAACUUUUAUUUUAGAUACGGGGGUAGAUGUGCAGGUUUGUUACAUGGGAAUAUUUCAUGAUGCUGAGGCUUGGGGUAUGGAUCCCAUCAAGCAGGUAGUGAGUACAAUACCAGAUAGGUAGUUUUUCAACUCAUUCCCCACUUUUACCUUCUACCCUGUAGCAGUCUGCAGUGUCUGUUGUUCCCUUAUUUGCAUCCAUGUGUGCUCAGUGUUUAGUUCCCACUUGUAAGUGAGAACAUACCAUAUUUGGUUUUCUGUACCUUCAUUAGUCCACUUAAAAUUAUGACCUCCACCUGCAUCCAUGUUUCUCCAAAGAAUACGAUUUCAUUCUUUUUUUAUGGUUGUGUAGUAUUCCAUGGUGCAUUUGUACCACAUUUUCUUUAUCCAAUCUACAAUUGAUGGGCACGAGUUGAUUCCAUGUUCUUUGCUAUUAUAAAUAGUGUGGCAAUGAACAUAUGAGUGCAUGUGUCUUUUUGGAAGAAUGAUUUAUUUUUCUUUGGGUAUAUACCCAGCAUUGGGAUUGUUAGGCUGAAUGGUAGCCCUGUUUAAAGUUCCUUGGAGAAAUCUCUGAACUGUUUUCCACAGUGACUGAACUAAUUUACAUUCUUACCAACAGAAUAUAAGUGUUCCCUUUUCUCUGGAGCCUUACCAGCAUCUGCUGUUUUUUAACAUUUUAAUAAUAGUCAUUUUGUUUACUGUGAGAUGGUAUUCCAUUGUGGUUUUGAUGUGUAUUUCUUUGGUGUUUAAUGAUGCUGAGCAGUUUUUCAUAUGUUUGUUAGCUGCUUGUAUGUCAUCUUUUGAAAACUGCCUGUUCAGCUCCUUUGCUCUUUUUUUAAGGGGGUUAUUUUUUUUUCUUGUUGAUUUAUAUAAUUUCCCUGUAGAUUCCAGAUAUUAGGCCUUUGUUGGAUGCAUAGUUUGCAAUUCUCUUCUGUUCUAUGGGUUGUCUGUUUACUCUGUUGAUAGUUUCUUUUGCUGUUCAGAAACUCUUUAGCUUAAUUAGGUCUCACUUCACUAUCUUCGUUUUUGUUACAAUUACUUUUGAGGACUUAGCCAAAAAUUAUUUGCCAAUGCUGAUGUUGAAAAGAGUAUUUCCUUGGUUGUCUUCUAGGAUUUUAACAGUUUGAGGUCUUAUGUUUCAAUCUUUGAUCCAUUUCAAGUUACUUUUUGUAUAUGGUGGAAGGUAGGGAUUCAGCUUCAAUCUUCUGCAUACAGCUAUUCAGCUGUGCAGCUUCAUUUCUGAGUUUCAAAUUCUGUUCCAUUGGUCUAUGUGCCUGUUUUUGUAGGAGUACCAUGUUGUUUUGGUUAUCAUAGCUUUAUAGUGUAGUUUGAAGUCAGGUAGUAUGAUGCCUCCAGCAUUGUUCUUUUUGCUUAGGAUUGCUUUGUCUAUUCAGGCUCUUUUUUUUCCACAUGAAUUUUAAGAUAAUUAUUUUCAAAUUCUGUGAAAAAUAACAUUAGUAGUUUGAUAGGAAUAGCAUUUAAUCUUUAAAUUGCUUUGGGUAGUAUGGCCAUUUUUACAAUAAUGAUUCUUCCAUUGUAUGAGCAUGGAAUGUUUUUCUAUUUAUUUCUGUCAUUUUUGAUUUCUUUCAGGAGUGUUUUUUAGUCUUUGUAGAGAUAUUUCACCUCCUUGAUAAGCUGUAUUCCUUGGUGUCUCAGUUUCUUUUGUGGCUAUUAUAAAUGUAAUUGUGUUCUUAUUUUCACUCUAAGCCCAGCCAUCAUUUGUGUAUAGAAAUACUACUGAAUUUUGCUCAUUGAUUUUUAUAUUCUGAAACUUUACUAAAGUUUUUUAUCAGUUCUCAGAGCAUUUUGUCAGAGUCUUUAGGAUUCUUAGUGGUGUGGAAGCCUUGUGGAAGGAAGCACGCCUAGGUCUACAUCAGCUUGCAAACCUAUGAGGCUCAUUUCUCUCAGUUUUCUGAGUGUGGGCUCCUCCUCUGUAAGUGCCAGGCAUAGAUCCCUGCUUAGCACUCCUGAGCCAUGGGCUGCAGCCCUGGGAUACCAGGACCUCUUUGUGGUUCCCUCUUUGAGGAUUCUGGGUGUGCUGCAAGAUCUGAAGUGCUCCUGGGCUACGAGAAAGCACUCAGAUGGAACAAAGCACCCAGGAUGGGCAGCAGGGUUGUGCUGUGAACACAGUUCUGUGUGGCAUUCAGGCAGGAGCCUGGGGAGUGCUGGUGGGCAGGUAGGACUGCAGAACAGACAUGCCCUAGGCCCACGGAGAAGCCAGCAUUGCUUUUUCCCUGGCAGUUAGCUGGGGCCAGAGGCUCUCAGGAAGAUAGGUAAACUUGGGGAAUGUGCACUUAUGGCCAGUCUCCCUGGAGCUGUCCUCAACACAAAGAUCCCCAGCUACCUGCCUGCUGUAGCUCUGUUUCUGCCAAAUCUCUGGGGAGAUCCCCCACAUCAGCUCAAAUAUCUGUGGGCAGCGUGGGGUUCCCUGAAGCUAAGAACCCAGAGGCCCGCAGCAAGAGUAGGAAGUCCCUCAGUCCCUUCACUCACCCCUUCCCCAGAAGCCAUUCAGAGUGAGAACCAGCCUUGGCAUUCAGGGACCUCAUAUGUUGUUCAUAACUUCUUCCUCUUCAGCUUCAGCAUCUGCCACAUUUGGCAUUUUCUCUCCAAUGAUUUGUUCAAAUUAUGUUAGUUGAGUUGAAAUCCUGGUCUUUCUCCCUGGGAGUGGAACUUCCAGGCUGCACCUAGUUGGUCACCUUCCCAUUCCCUCAUUAUUAAUUUCUAAUCUAGUUUAUUAUGUUUGGAGAACAUAUUUGGUUUGAUUUAAAUUCUUUUAAACUCAUUAAGAUUUGUUUUAUGACUCAGGGCAUGAUUUAUCUUGGUAAAUAUUUCAUGUACACUUGAAACAAAUGUUUCUUCUGCUGUUGUUGGGUGGAGUGUUAUAUAAAUAUCAUUUAGAUUUGUUUGGUUGGUAGUGUUGUCUAGUUCUUCUAUAUUCUUGCUGAUAUUAUUAGUUGCUGACAAAAGUGUCCUGAAGUCCCUAUCAUUGUGCAUUUACCCAUUUCUCUUUUUAGUUCUGGCACUUUUUCGCUUCAUGUGUUUUAAAGCUGUGUUUUCAUGUGCAUCCACCUAAAGGAUUUUUAUGUCUCCUUGGUGAAUUGACUCUUUUUGUCAUUUUGUAAUGUCCAUCCUUAUCCCUGGUAAUCCUUUGUUGCAAGGUGUACUUUAUCUGACAUUAAUCUAUUCACUCUGGCUUCUUUGAAUUUGAGCGUAAAUGGUAUAGUUUUUUAUCUUCCUUGUAAUUUUAAUUUACCUCUAGUAUUAUAGUUGAAGUAAAUUUCUUGUAGACAGCAUUUUGGAUCAUUAAAAAUAUUCUAUUGAUCUUUUAUACAUUUAUAUAUAGUCAGACCAUUUAGAUUUAAUGUAAUUUUAUAUAUUUGAAAUUUUGUCUGUAAUUUUAUCUUGUGCUUGAUCACUCCACUUUUAUUCUUCUGUUUCUUCUUUACUGCCACCUUUAGGGUUACUUAAUCAUUUAAAAAAUACUCCAUUUAAAUUUGUCUAUUGUAUUUUUUACUGUCUAUCUAUCUAUCUAUCUGUCUAUCAUCAUCAUCAUCAUCACUGAUUUUUUAUGGGUGUUCUAGGGGUUACAAUAUAGAAAUUUAACUUUUUACUAACUAGAAUCAAUAUUUUACCAUUUGAAGCGAAAUGUAGAAAAUACUACUGUAAAGUGCUUUACUCGCUCUCCCCCAAAUUGGAGUUGUUUUAUGUAUUUCAUCUAUAUAUGAAAACCUCAAAAAUAAUAUCAUUUUUGAUAGCUAUUUACUUUCAUAUUUUAAAAACUUAAUAGGAGAAGAAUAUUCUAUUUAUGCAGACAAAUACCAUUUGUUCUUACUUUAUUUUUGAUACUACAAGUUUUCUUCUGGCAUCAUUUCCCUUAUGCCUGAAAAACUAUCUAUAUUGAGCAGUUCUUUUAGAAUAAGCCUGAUGACUAAAUCUUAGUUUUUUUCUACUUUUCCAUUUAUUCCUGAAAGAUGUUUUUGCUGAAUAUAAAAUUUUGGCUUGAGGUUUUUUUCCUUUCACCACUUUAAAAACAUUGUUCCACAUUCUUCUAAUCGCUACCAUUUAUGAUGUGAAUUCUGAAGCUACUCAAAUCCUUAUUUCCUUAUCAUUAAUAUGUCAUUUUAAAAGCUGUUUUCAAGACUAUUUUUCUUCUGUCUUCAGUUUCCAGCAGUUUAAUAAAAUAUGUAUAGGUUAGUGUUUGCUUUUUGGGUUUACUCUGUUGGGAUGUACCAAGAUUCUCAAAUAUGUAGCUUUAUGUGUUUUGCAAAUUUAGGAAUUUGUUAGUAAUUAUUUCCUCAAAUAUUUUUAUCUGGAUUUUACUCUAUCUUGUAUCCUUCUGGAACUUCAGUAAAACACAUAUUUUACUUUUUCGUAAGAUCUUACAGUCUCAGACCCAGUCUCUUUUUUGAGUUUUUUCUUAUUGUUGUUCAGCUUGAACACUUUCUACUGAUAUGUUUUCAAAGUUCACUGACUUUCCUCUGUUAAAUUUUUCAUUGACUUUGUACUAAUCUGUUUUCAAAGUCCACUGACUUUCCUGUUAUAUUUUUCUGCUACUGAGCCCAUUACGUGGAUGUUUUAUUUAAGUAACUGUAGUUUUCAAUUCUAAAAUUUCCCUUGGUAUGUUUUCUAUACCUUCUAUUCAUUUGCUGAUUUUCUCUGUCUUUCUGUUUGUUUAGAGUGAUUGCCUUUGGAGUACAGUCAUAAUAGCUGAUUCGUAUAUUAUUCUAAUUUCUGUCUUUUUUCCUGUGUUGGUGUCUGUUGAUUGAGUUUUAUCAAUCCAGUUCGAAUUCUACUCAUUCUUUGUAUGCCAAGUCAUUUUUAUUGGACCAUGAAUAUUUUGAAUAUUGUGUUACUGGAUUUUAGGUCUUAUUUCAAUCUUAUAUAAAAUGUUGCCUUUUUUUUUUUUUGCAGGUGAUUGACCUGGUUCCAUUUAAGGCAUAAAUUCUAUCGAGGCUCUGUGAAUUGUGGUUCACUGUAAAUUCUGUUUUUAAAGACUUUGUAGUGUUUUGCAGGUUUUUUCAUGUGUGUCACCCAUAGCCAAUGUCAGAGCUAGGCUAUAGCCUUAUAUGUUAGUUCAAUUAUCAAAGUACUUAGUGCCCUGAAUGGCAUCAGAUCCACACAUGUACAGCUCAGGGGUAAGCCUGGAUUAUAAAUAACCCUUUUUUGGGAUUUAUUUCCUCUUGGACGCUCCUUUUCCAACUUUUAGCACAAUCUCCUGGUAUCUUUUCGUUCCUAUGGCUCCCAUUUUUGGUUUUCUGACCAGGAAGCUGAUGUUUUAUUUACCCUGUUCUUUGGUGCACUUACUAUAACUGUGCCAUGUCUUAAAAUGACAGAGAAGGAACAAUAACAAAAAAGGAAAUUUGCUCCAUUUAAAUAAUGCUGAUAAUAGAAAAAGGUCUAUUUUUAAUAAAAUUUUAGGCUACUACAGGUUUGCACCACUGUCAACGUCACCACUUCUUACAUUUGAGAGAAUGAGGGAAAAGAGGAAAAAAAUAAACAAAAAUACAGAGAACUUUUCCCACCAUCUCUGAGCAUUAAAGGAUCUUUCCUCAUUCCUUACACCAAAAUUAGAGAGUUUGAUUUAGAACUCUCUGUCUGUGCCAGUAGUGUCCACUUCAUGUUUCAGAUUAUGUUGAGCUCAGCCUGAUAGAUACUAGAAAGGAAAAAAUAAGGUAAAUUUAUUGCCAUUUUAAAGGUAUCUCUUAUUUUGGUCUUCUUCACCAAUGUACUUACUACUAUUUACAUUUCAGAGUCCUAAAAUAGAUGUUCAAUGCAUUCUGUCCAGAUUUUAUACCACUUGUUGUGAGAGACGGUAAAGUAUGUUUACUCUUUCAUGACUGAAAUAGAAAGUCUCUAUCCUAUUCAAUUAAACAUUGAGAUAAGAAUGAAAACACUUCCAAGAAAAGAUGCAUUGUGGCCAUUUUAAAAAUUAAGUCAACCCUAUUUAAUCAACCAAUUUUAGAUUAUUCUGAAUGUCUCGGUUUUUAAAAUUGUUAUUAUUAUUAUUUUUAAACAAUAAUUAUACAUAUUUAUGGGGUACAAUGUGAUAUUUCAAUAUAUGUAUACAAUAUAUAAUGUUCAAAUCAGGAUAAUUAGCAUAUCUAUGACCUCAGACAUUUAUUAUUUCCUUGUGUUGGGGACAUUCAAAAUCUUCUCUUCUAGCAAUUUGAAAAUAUACAAAAAUUAUUGUUAAUUAUAGUCACUGUACAGUGCUACAAAACACUAAACUUAUUCUUCCUAUCUACCUGUGAUUUUGUUUUGGUUUACCAAGUUCUUCAUAUUCCCUUUCCCCCACUACUCUUUCCAGCCUCUGGUAACCACUAUUGUACUGUCUGCUUCUUUGAGAUCAACUUUCAGCUUCCACAUGUUUGUGAGAAUAUAUGGUAUUUAUCUUUCUGUGCCUGUGUUAUUCCACUUCACAUAAUAUCCUCCAGGAUCAUCCAUGUUGCUGUGUAUGGCAGGAUUUCAUUCUUUUAUGGCUGAACACUAUUCGAUUUUGUGUGUGUGUGUGUGUGUGUGUGUAUAUGUAUAUAUAUAAUCACAGCAGGUAUCAUUUCCACAUACUGAUUUCCUUUCAGUUGGAUAUAUGCCCAGAAAUUAGACUGUUGGAUCAUAUGGUAGAUCUGUGUUUUUUUUUUUUUUUUUUUUUUUUUGAGGGGGAGUCUUGCUCUGUCCCCAGGCUGGAGUGUAGUGGUGCUAUCUUGGCUCAUUGUAACUUCUGCCUUCCGGGUUCAAGCAAUUCUCCUGCCUCAGCCUCCUGAGUAGCUGGGAUUACAGGUGCAUGCCACCAUGCCUGGCUAAUUUUUGUAUUUUUAGUAGAGAUAGGGUUUCACCUUGUUGGUCAGGCUGGUCUCGAACUCCUGACCUCAUGAUCCGCCCUCCUCGGCCUCCCAAAGUGCUGGGAUUACAGGCGUGAGCCACUGCGCCCCACCCAUGUCUCAGUUUUUAUGUAUUGGAGGGAGAAAAGUCAAAUCAUUCAGACAUUCUUUAAGGAGGAAACUUAAAUGUCGGGAUGGGAAACGCAGAUUAUCCUUAGUCAUUUCUCACUUAGCUGUCAUUUCUUCUCUUCCAUUGGUAGAAAGCUCCAGAUGGCCUUGUUUCAGAGUACGGGAAUGGACGAAGAUAGAAUAUUACCAGAACCAAAGUACAAGUCCUGCUACAAAUAGGGUGCUUCUCUGAUCCUGACAUGAAAAAUAUAUGUUCAAAGCUACAGUCAUGGGAUUAUAACCUAUGUCUCAAAAAUCAUUCAGCCUCAUUGUUCAAGCCCAAGAAUUCACCCAAGGAUGAAGAGUGUUAGAUAUUAAUGUAGACUCAAAGCUUGUUACCUAUUACUACAUGACAAGGAUUUUAUGUUUUUUUUCUUACUUCAGUGCUCAUAGUGGCUUCCUACAUCAUGUUGACUAGGUAUCAAGCCAUUUCCUAGCUCCCUGUAGCAAGUUUAUUUCUCUCAUCUUUUGCAGUUUUCUACACAGGACCUGACCAGUUUUGCUUUGUGUCUUUUGCUAUGUCAUACACUGAAUGAGUAAUCCUAUUAUUCAAAGAGAUUAUUUUACUAAGUUAGUAUUUUAAGCAUAGCUUAUAGUAGAGUGAGCAUAAUUGAGCAACACCAAACUUUUAAAAUGUAUUUCUUACCCAUUUACAUGAAUAGUUUCAUUUAAUUUAUUGGCAAGUCUACAAGUGUCUUUGAGGGUUGACUUUCUGACUUCACAGCACACAGAUGCCAGGAGAUGUGACUUUUGCUUCUUUUUCUAAAGUUAUAACUGAACAAUUACUACAUGUCUUUUAAUUUCUUUCUAUUCCCUGGUGAGAGUGCAUUGGGAAGAAGAAACCAUCACUGCCAUAUUGUUAUACACAUUCAUUUUUACUACACUUUCUGCAUUUUUAGUGAAAGAGAUAAUCUUCAUUUUCUCUGAUGCUUCUUUCCCAACUUCAGCUGCAGAUCCCAUCUCCUCUUAACUCAUCAGGAAACUUAAUCAUUUCCUUCCUCUCUCCUGUUUAUUUAAUCCCUCUCUCCCGCUCUAUCUCUCCAUUGGCUCUACAUUCUCAGAUAUAGCUCCUGCUUAAAAAUAUCUUCCUUAGACAAAGUUACCGAUCUGCCUUCUGUUGUUGACCUGUCUCUCUCCUUGAAAGGGUUGACAACAUUUGCACUUUUCAUGUUGUAAUUGUCUAUACAUUUUUAAAUUUAUUGCCACCUGGUUUCCUCUUCAACCAGGCAAUUAAAAUAGCUCUUGCCAAAAUCACUGAUAAUAAAUAGUCACUCUUCUUUUCCAGUUUUUAUAUUGAUGUCUCUAAAGAAUUUUUUCUCAGUUGGUCACUGGUCACUCCUUACUAUUAUAAACUAAUUUAUCUGAGCUUAUGUGAUAUCAUAGUCUCAUAUUCUCUUGGCUUUCUUCUCAUCUUUCUGACUACUCCUACUGUACAUUUGGGAUUAGAUUUUUUUCCACUUUAAGUAAUAAUGUUUCUAACUGUAUGAUUUCAGGGACCAUACUGCAAUGACUCUUCAUAUAUAUAUAUGAAUAUGUAUAUGUAUAUAUAUGUAUAUAUAUAUAUAUAUAUGUAUAUAUAUAUUUAUGAGAAAGAGACAGACAGAGAGAAGAGAGAGGGAGGAGCGAUUAGUCUCCUAUUAGACAUUUCUCCUUGACUGUUCCAUAGGUAAUUUGGAUGUGUUCCAAACUGAGCUCAUGCUCAUCUAAUAUGCUUUUCCUCCUUUAUUCACUGUCUCAGUUAACCCAUACCCUUACGCUCACACAUUGUUAAAACCUGGGGUCUCUUUUAUCUCUGUGGUUAAUGUGCAAUAAAAUCUUAACAAUUCUGUUUUACUUACCUUUUGACUCUUUUCUCUUUUCUUAUUCCCAGUAUUAUUUUCUUCGUUUAUGUCUCACAAUUUUUCUUCUUUAAAUUACAGCAUUAGCCUCCUUACUGGUCUUCCUGUCUCCUGUUUUGAUCGCUUCAGUUUAUUUGCCACAUUGUAGCUUUAGUGAUGUUUCUAAAUUGUUAAUUGGAUCAUGUUACUCCCUUGUUUAAAACAUUUCACUAACCUCCUGAAAUCUUCAGAAUAAAAUUAUGAUUUCUUAGAGGUGCAGGCAUUUUCUGAUUUCAUCAGAAGCGUCCUUUGACUUGCCUUCAGCCUUACCAGCACACUUAUCUCCCAAAUAUGGACUAGGUUCUUAGGUUUUGCAAUUCUAUAAUAUCACUCUGCACCAUCAGAAUACUCACCACAUUAUAUUGUCAUUGUUAUUUUUUGUUGCCAUUUGAAUAGUCUAUUUAAUCUUUAUAUCCCUGUGUCAGUGCUUGGAACACUGAGAUGAAUGUUGAAACGAUGAGUGAAGAAUGACUGAAAAGUUUUCAAAUUUGUAUUUAAAAUUUAGAUUCUCCCCAGCACUUCGGUAGGCUGAGGAGGGUGAAUCACCUGAGGUCAGGAGUUUGAGACUAGCCUGGCCAACAUGGUGAAACCCUGUCUUUACUAAAAAUAAUAAUAAUAAUAGUAAUUAGCCAGGCAUGGUUGCAGACGCCUUAGGAGGCUGAGGCAGGAGAAUUGCUGAAACCCAGGAAUCAGAGGUUGCAGUGAGCCAAGAUCGUGCCACUGCACUCCAAACCGGGUGACAACUUUGAGACUUGGUCUUAAAAAAAUAAAAUAAAAUAAAAAGUUAGGUUCUCAAGCAAGGAAAUAGCAAGAAAGCCAUUAAAGAACAUUAGAUUAACAGAUAAAGUAAGGAAAUCUGGAAGUGUGUGGAGAUGGUGAGAUGACUGUUAGCCAUGAGGCUUUUGUAACAGAUGUGAAGUCAUUAAAAAAAAAAAUACCUGAAAUGGUUACUAGGGUGAUGUGCAAAAUAACAAUGAUACUUUUUAAACUUAAAUAGUUAAAUUCCUAGGAUGUAUUAUGUCAUAGAUCCCAGAAAGAUUAAAGAAUUACCUUGAAGUAUUCUUAAAGCAGUAUGUAUUCCAAAUGCAUUAUCUAUAUAAUUUACAAAUUCAUACUACACACACACACACACACACACUUUUAGAUUUAAAGGAAACCAAUAAUAAUUUGAGCUGCGUAAAUCUUACAUAAUUGUAAUUUGUUUAGAACAAACUUCAUUCUUUCAUAUUUAAAAUUUUUCCCUAUUUGGUCUCUUAGCUACAAAAGCCUAAAGGGCUUAAAGUUGCCUCUUUGUUUUAACUGUAAUGUGAGCCCUUAUAUGUGCUUGCCAAAUGUUGCCAUGAUUGUGAUUUUAAAAUAAAACACUUUGCUUAUGUGUUCAUAUAAAUAGAAAGUUUGGAAUAAUUAGAUUUUUAUGAGGUCAAAUUCAGAAAACUGAUAUUUAUUUUCUUUAAAAAUCCUAGAAGUGUAUUGUGUUAUUUUGCUGCAGGUGUUAGCACUUACUAAAUUUCAACAAUACACUGUUUUUGAGACCUAUAAAAUACUGUUAAUAUUCAAAAUUAUGUGUAAAACUGUGCUAAAUCAAAACAAGUAUCAUUUUUCAAAGUUUUCUUUUAAACCAGUAUCUGUAUCAACAGAAAACAAUAGCUGUUGCCUAUCACCAUCUGGUGCCCAUUGGUUAACUUAUAAGUAUUUUUUGGUCUUUAUUUUAGUCGUAGAUCCUCUUGUAUGUGGUUUAACAAAAUAUAUUUAACUGAAGCAGAAAAGCUUCUUAUGUAUUGAUUUAUACAUUUUGAUUUUCCAAUUGUUGAAGUGCUUUCUUUUUUUCUUAAUCCAUAUAAAACAUUUUAAGAUUAUUUUAAACAUCACAUAUUCUAUUUGCAGAGGAUCAUUUAGUUCAGUAAGUGAUAAAAAACAUAAACAGCCUCAUAUAAUACAAAAAGAGCUCCCAAAUAGGCAAUGAACACAACAUUCUUGUUAAAUGAUUUUGACUAACCAGUCUUUAUAGCAACAUUGAAUUUUGUGGUUUUCAUUUUAUUUCAUAAGUAAGCUCUAUAUUUCUUUCAAAAACAAAUACAAAUGUUGGACUUUAUUUUACUUAUUUCAUCAUGAUGACUUAUGUAUUAGACCAUUUUCACACUGCUAUAAAAAUGCCGGAGACUGGGUAAUUUAUUAAAAAAAAAAAAAAGGUUUAAUUGACUCACAGUUCCACAUGGCUGGGGAGGCCUCAAGAAACUUACAAUCAUGGUGGACGGGAAAGCAGACAUGUCUUACAUGGCAGCAGGUGACAGAAGCCUGGAGGAGGAGCUUCCAAAAAUUUAUAAAACCAUUAGAUCUCAUGAGAACUCUUUCACUAUCAUGAAAACAGCAUGGGGAAAACUGCCCCCAUGAUCCAAUCGCCUCCCUCCCUCAACUACAAUUUGAGAUGAGAUUAGGGUGGGUACACAGAGCCAAACCAUAUAAAGUUAUUUUAGUUAUUUUCUUCUUCUAAAAGAAGUAAAGCUUUUCUGUUUUUUUUUAAAAAUUAUUAUUAUUUUGUUUAGUAUAGUAUCAUUAUACUCUAAAAUUAGGUAGGAAUUAUACCACCAAAACUUUUUGUAAACACCCUUUUAUUGUAAAUAAACAAGAUACAGAAAGCUACACAAAUGUAUGGCUUCAUUAACUGUUUUAAAGCAACACAUCUUGUUAACUACCACACAGGUCAAGAAAGAGAACUUUGCCACUCACCUCAGAAUCUCGUCAGUUAUGUCUCAAACAUAAUCCCCACCUUCUCUCAAAAGCAACCACUAUGUUGACUUUUAUAGUCUUCACUUCCUUUUUUAUUAGUCAAGUGUGCAUUCUGGAUACUAUAGUUUAAUCUUGACUAAUUAAAAAUUAUGUCGUUUUAUGUCUCUUUCAAUCUACAAUUUCUCCCUUUGUCCUUUUUUCUUAUGAAAAUUUAUUUGUUGAAGAACCUGGGCAAAUGCUGACUGUAAUUAAACAAAUUCCUUUGGUCUCUAUAUUCACUGAAACUCAGUAGCUGUAUCCAGAGGCGUAAUCAGAUUUAGAGUAGAUUACUUUGUGUUUUCUUUCAUUAGGAGGCAUUGAAUGCUGUUUUUCUCUCUUUUUCUGAUGUUAGCUGCUAUUGAUGCUCAGUGCCUAGGUCUAUUAAUUCAUUGGUAGUUGCAAACAAUUAUAUUCUAGUUCUGUCCUUUAUUUUUCAAAUCUUAAGGGGAUAAAGUGCAUACUUCCCCUUAUCUCUUUUGUUAUUCAGUAGGACAGUUCAUUCAGGAAAGUCAGGAUAAAUGCUUGAUUAAUUCCCUUUAGUUAUCAGCUUUCAAAAUAAUAAGUUGACUCCUUUUUACUCUCAGAAGAUGAUUUAUUAGUAUUUAAGAGAAAAUCACUGUGAACUUAUAGAUUAAAACAUUUUGGCCAGGUGCAGUGGCUCAUGCCUGUAAUCCCAGCACUUUGGGAGGCUGAGGAGGGCGGAUCACGAGGUCAGGAGAUCGACCAUCCUGGCUAACACGGUGAAACCCUGUCUCUACUAAAAAUACAAAAACAAAAUUAGCUGGGUGUGGUGGUGGGCGCCUGUAGUCCCAGCUACUCGGGAGACUGAGGCAGGAGAGUGGCAUGAACCCGGGAGGUGGAGCUUGCAGUGAGCUGAGAUAGCGCCACUGCAUUCCAGCCUGGGCUACAGAGCAAGACUCUGUCUCAAAAAAAAACAACAACAACAACAACAAAACUUUUAUUUUAACUAAAAUUAUUAUUCUUUUUUGAAGCUCACAUAGUUGUAUCAUUGGCCAGUGGGGCCUUCUUCAAGUUGGCACCUUAAUUCUUUUGCAAUGAACCUAAUAAUCUCUUACUGUUUCUUCUUUAUCUAAUAUGACCAUGUUUCAGGUUAAUCUGUAUGUUUUCUUUCCCACAACAGAAACCAGCUAUUUCUCCAAGAAGCCCUGGUUUCUCUUAGUAAGAAAUGGUAUUUUAAGAUCAUUAUCUGGGCACUAGGAAAACUUGGUUAGUUAUUAUUUCUAGAUUCCUUUAGUUAAGAGAGCUAGAAUAUUAUAUACAUAUACACACAAGCAGACUCACACACACACAGAUAUUAUACUUCUGCAUUUGAAUGCAUAUUGUUAUUUCGUAUUCAAAUUCAGGACUAUAGAUUUCUUUUGCAUAAUCUCCUCUAUAUUAUAUUUUAAUCCUCACUUCCUGAUAUUGUUUGGCUGUGUCCCCACCCAAAUCUCAUCUUGAAUUGUAGCUCCCAUUAUUCCCAUGUGUUGUGGGAGGGAUGUGGUGGGAAGUAAUUGAAUCAUGGGAGUGGGACUUUCUUGUGAUAGUGAAUAAGUCUCAUCAGAUCUGAUGGUUUUAUAAAGGAGAGUUCCCCUACACAAGCUCCCUUGUCUGCCUGCAUGUAAGACGUGACUCUACUUCUCCUUUGCCUUCUGCCAUGAUUGUGAGGCUUCCCCAGCCCUGUGGAAUUGUGAGUUCAUUAAACCUUUUUUUUAAUGAAUUACCCAGACUCAGGUAUGUCUUUAUUAGCAGCAUGAGAACAUACUAAUGCGUAAAUUGGUACCUGUAGAGUGGGGUGCUGCUGUAAAGAUACCCAAAAAUGUAGAAGUGACUUUGGAACUUUGUAAUAACAGGCAUAGGUUGGAACAGUUUGGAGGGCUCAGAAGACAGGAAGAUGUGGGAAAGUUUGGAAAUUUCUGGAAACCUUUUGAAUGGCUUUGACCAAAAUGCUGAUAGUGAUAUGGACAGUAAAGUCCACGCUGAAGUGGUCUCAGAUGGAGGUGAGGAACUUGCUGGGAACUGCAGCAAAGGUGACCCUUGCUAUGUUUUAGCAAAGAUCUUGGCAUUUUGCCCUUGCUGUAGAGAUAUGUGAAACUUUGAACUUGAGGGAGAUGACUUAAGGCAUCUGGUAGAAGAAAAUUCUAAGCCUCAAAGCAUUCAAGAGGUGACUUGGGUGGUGUUAAAAACAUUCAGUUUUACGUAUUCACGAAGUUACAGUUUGGAAUUGGAACUCAUGUUUAAAAGGGAAGCAGAGUAUAAAAGUUUGGAAAAUUUGUAGCCUGACGAUGUGAUAGAGAAGAAAAACUCAUUUUCUGAGGAGAAAUUCAAGCUGGCUGCAGAAAUUUGCAUAAGUAACGAGAAGUCAAAUGUUAAGUCAAGACAAUGGGGAAAAUGUCUCCAGUGCAUGUCUGAAGUCUUCACAGCAGUCCCUCCCAUCACAAGCUGGAGGCCUAGGAGGAAAAAAAUGGUUUCAUGUGCCAGACCCAGGACCUCGCUGCUUUGUGCAGUCUGAGGACUUGGUACCGUGUGUCCCAGCCAUGGCUAAAAGGGGCCAAUGUAGAACCCAGGCCAUUGCUUCAGAGAGUUCAGGUCCCAAACCUUAGCAUUUUACAUGUGGUGUUGGGCUUGUGGGUGCACAGAAAUCAAGAAUUGAGGUUUUGGAAUCUCUGCUUAGAUUUCAGAGGAUGCAUGGAAACACCUGAAUGUCCAGGCAGAGGUGUGCUGCCGGGGCAGAGCCCUCAUGGAGAAGCUCUGCUAGGUAGUGUGGAAGGGAAAUGUGGGGUGCAAAUUGGAGCUAUUAGAAAAGGGCCACUGUCUUUUAAACUGCAGAAUAGUAGAUCCAUGGACAGCUUGCACUGUGACCUGGAAAAUCCAAAGAAACUCAAUGCCAGCCCAUGAAAACAGCCAGGAGAGGGGCCUGUACUCUGCAAAGCCACAGUGGCAGAGCUGCCAAAGACCAUAGGAACCCACGUCUUGCAUCAGUGUGACCUAGAUGUGAGACAUGGAGUCAAAGGGGAUCAUUUGUAGCUUUAAGAUUUGACUGUCCAGCUGGAUUUUGGACUGCAAAAUCCAACACCACAUGUAAAAUGCCAAGGCUUGGGACCUGAACUCUCUGAAGCAAUGGCCUGGGUUCUACAUUGGCCCCUUUUAGCCAUGGCUGGGACACACGGUACCAAGUCCUCAGACUGCACAAAGUAGCCCCUUUGUUUUGGCCAAUUUCUCCCAUUUGGAAUGGGUGUAUUUAUCCAUUGCCUAUACCCCUGUUGUAUCUGGGAAGUAACUAACUUGCUUUUAAUUUUACAAGCUCAUAGGUGGGAGGGAUUUGCUUUCUCUCAGUUGAGACUUUGGACUGGGGACUUUUGAGUUAAUGCUGAAAUGAGUUAAGAUUUGGGGGACUGUUGGGAAGGAUAUGAGAUUUGGGAGGGGCCAGGGUGGAAUGAUAUGGUUUGGCUCUGUGUCCACCCAAAUCUCAUCUUGAACUGUAGCUCCCACAAUUCCCAUGUGUUGUGGGGGGCACCAAGUGAAAGGUAAUUGAAUCAUGGGGUGGAUCUUUCUUGUGCUGUUCUCAUGAUAGUGAAUAAAUCUCACAAGAUCUGAUGGUUUUAUAAAGGGGAGUUCCCUUAGACAAGUUGUCUUGCCUGCUGCCAUGUAAAACGUGACUUUGCUCCUCAUUUGCCUUCUGCCAUGAUUGUGAGGCUGCCCCAGCCACGUGGAACUGUGAGUCAAUUAAACCUCUUUCUUUUAUGAGUUACCCAGUCUCAAGUACAUCUUUAUUACCAGUGUGAAAAUAAACUAAUACACCUCCAUACUGAGACUUCUCUUCCUCAAGGACACAAAAUUGAGAUUGAAUUAGAUCCCUUUAUACACGUAUUGUUCUGGGAAGAAUGCAUAAUGAUCUCUCUUUAGGCAUGUUAUCAUCUAUGAAUGUUCUAGCAAGGAAAUGCAUUGAAUUUGUCCUGUGUUUCUUUGCCAUAUUCCUAUAAUUUUAUUGUUUCAGAGUUAUUUUAUAUUGUAGUUCAAGGCAAGAUUUACCAUUAUCAGAGAUAACACCUGCUUCCUAGUCCCCUUACUCUUUUUCACUCUUUAGUUUCUUCCAUAUAUUGUCCUCAAUAGUUUUUUUUCCCCCAAUUACUAUUGUAAGCAUUUUUUUUUAAGAAUGUCAUCACCUUAGGGUUGUUUCCUAAAUAAAUAUUGGAUUGGCAUCUGCUCUAUCCCUUACUGAGUACUGGAUUCUGUUAUUGUAGUCAGCAAGUGUUAAACAAUUAGAAGAAUGAAAUGAUUGUGAGUAUGUAAAACUCUUUGUUUUGGCACAAAUCAUUGUUUUUAUUUAAUUUGGGAAAACAUCUUUACAAGUUGAUAAAUACUAGAACUGUCAAUGAGAAAAAUGCUACUGAAAUACCUAUUUUUCUCUUUGAUGGCAGACUUUCCUAAAUAUUUGCAUUUUAACAUAUUUUAUCUCAUACUUUAGCUGACAUUACUUAGUUGUAUAUGGAUCUGUUCUUAAUAAAAUAAAGAGAAAAACAUAAAGAGAGUAAAAGGAUCAUUAAAUUUGUUAUUACAAUUGUGUAGAAGUUUCCCUGUCAUAAAAUUUCUAAGCAUAGCAGUUGUCACUGAUUGUCUUCUAUAGAAGCAAAUAAUUUAUUUCAAUUUUCUAAUAUAAGUAUUAUUUUUCAUCAUGAAAAUCCAAUUAAAACAACUUUUUUUUUUUUUUUGAGACAGAGUCUCUCUUUUGCCCAGGCUGGAGUGCAGUGGCGUGAUCUCAGCUCACUGCAAGCUCUGCCUCCCGGGUUCACACCAUUCUCCUGCCUCAGCCUCCUGAGUAGCUGAGACUACAGGCGCCCACCACCAUGCCCAGCUAAUUUUGUUUUUGUAUUUUUAGUAGAGACGGGGUUUCACCGUGUUAGCCAGGAUGGUCUCGAUCUCCUGACCUCGUGAUCCACCGGCCUUGGCCUCCCAAAGUUAAAAGAACUUUUAUAAUUAAAUCUAAAAUGACUGAUUAUUGCCAGACAUGGUGGCUCACACAUGUAAUCCCAGCACUUUGGAAAGAGGAUGCCUUGAGCCCAGAAGUUUGAGACCAGCCUGGGCAACAUAGAGAGAUCUCAUCUUUACAAAAUUUAAAAAAAUUAGCUGGCUGUAGUGGUGCAUGCCUAUAGUCCCAGCUACUUGGGAAGCUGAAGUGAAAGGGAGGAUGGCCUGAGCCCAGGAGGUCAAGGCUGUAGUGAGCCAUAAUUGUGCCUCUGCACUCUAGAACUCCACACUUGGUAACAGAGCAAGGUCCUGUCUCAAAAAAAAAAAAUACUUAUUGCUAUUAUAUAAUCUAUAUCUUAACAUUUUUAUAUUAAACUUUUAAUUCUGGAUUUAAAAUUGUGUGUGACAUUGUCAGAGGAUUUCACUUUUAAAUGCAAAUAUAUAUUGAAGUUAUUUUUGGAGUCUUGACAAAGUCUAUAAAUUAAGGACAUAAAUUUUAAUACUAAAAUUUUAAACAUAUUUAUUGUAUCAAGUAGUGACUGGAAUUAUAAUACACUUGAAAUUACAGUAGAAUUUUUUUCAAAAAAUAUAAAAAUGCUUAAUAAAGCAUAUAGAAAAGUGUAUCAAGUAUGAGUCUUUUGAGAUGCUUCCUGAGCCUGUCCCUCCUGAAGAUUCAUCUGCCACGUUCCAGCAAUGCACCUUAUUAUGAUGACUUGGCAUUCACUGAGCACCAGCAUGAGAGUCAGCUUUCUACACACCAUGGUGCUAAGGAUGCCACCAGGACCCUAUGGCUGGCUCUUUGAAAUCUUACUAAAAGUUUAAAGUGAUUCCAAUAUGUUUCUUCUCAUUUAAAGACUUUCUGUGGUUAAAAAAAAAAUGCCAUAAAAUUUAUACUGCCAUAGUUAGAAUGACACUGCUAUUUUAAUAAAGAAAUUAUCACAUAAUAUUAAAACAUGAUGCAUUAUUUACUUCUUUUUCUCUAAGAAAAGGAAAUUCCGUUAAAUGAUAAAUAUUAUUUUUAAAAGGAAAGGAAUUAUUAUAAAAGGAAAUAUUACAAAAGGAAAUUCUGUUAAAUGAUAAAUGAGUGAUAAAGUGAACCUAUAAAUAUCACAAAUCACUUCAAAUUGAGAGACAUGCCAACAACUGCUUUGUAGUAAAGUAGACAUUUAUCAAAGAUUCAUAAAAAUGCAGUGUAAGUGAUGUUCAAUUAUUGUGGAAAGCCCAAUUCCUGUCUUUUUAAAAUUUUUAUAAUAAAUUCUAAGUAUCACAAAUAAAGUAUAAGGGAUGUAUUCAGUUGGUGGCAAAAACUGCAAUUACUUUUGCACUGACCUAAUAGUAGGGUCAUGCAUUAUUAAGAGUAAUGUCAGCAAUUAGCCCAACCUCUUCUCAGUGGACAUGAUUUGCCCAAAUUCACACAGGAAGUUAGAGACAGGACUAGCAUCCGGGACAUCUGACUUUCCAGUAUCUGUCUGCUUCCUAGAUACGUUUUAGAGUCAAAACUCUGUGGAUGAGAAAGGCUGUUAUCAAAUCAAUCCAAACGUAAGACAAUAGAGACUAGUGAGUCCUUAGUAAAUGUUAGGAUACUUGCCCUCUUUGAAAGUAUUAAUAUUCAAAUAUGUAAAGCAUUAUGACAUCCAGCUAAAAUAUACCCACAAGAUAGUUGGUUAUAUUUUGGAUAUUCUAAAGAUAUUUUACAGACAUUUAUGUAUAGUCAAUAUCUAAAAUAGGUUCAAGUAGUCACUGGGUACUACUAGAUUGGGGAAGGAGGAAGGAGGACAGGGUUGAAAUAGUAGUGGGUACUAUGCUCAGUACUUGAGUGACAGGAUCAAUUGUACCUUAACUUAGCAUCACACAAUAUACUCAGUUAACAAACCUGCACAUAUACCCCCUGAAUACAAAAUAAAAGUUGAAAUUAUUUAAAAAAGUAGAAUGGUUUUAUAUAGAUGUGUUUA